rnacentral:ncRNA from 1 species
GAGGAAGUUCGAGGGGAAAUCCCGACUGUACGAACAGAAACUGCAUAUAAGGCCGGAUGGAUGGACGAGGUUGCCAAAAGUGCCGAAAUCCGAUACAUCAUCAAGAAUCCAUAAGGUAGAUGCAGACGGCGCGGGAGGAAAGUA